GAUGAACGCUGGCGGCGCGCCUAACACAUGCAAGUCGAACGAGUAAGACGCCUUCGGGCGUGGAUAGAGUGGCGAACGGGUGAGUAACACGUGACCAACCUGCCCCCUCCUCCGGGACAACCUCGGGAAACCGAGGCUAAUACCGGAUACUCCGGGCACCCCGCAUGGGAUGCCCGGGAAAGCCCUGGCGGGAGGGGAUGGGGUCGCGGCCCAUCAGGUAGACGGCGGGGGAACGGCCCACCGUGCCCGCAACGGGUAGCCGGGCUGAGAGGAUGAUCGGCCACAUUGGGACUGAGACACGGCCCAGAGUCCUACGGGAGGCAGCAGUGGGGAAUGUUGCGCAAUGGGGGCAACCCUGACGCAGCGAGGCCGCGUGCGGGACGAAGUCAUUCGUGACGUAAACCGCUUUCAGCGAGGAAGAACCAUGACGGUACUCGCAGAAGAAGCCCCGGCUAACUACGUGCCAGCCGCCGCAGUAA
rnacentral:rRNA from 1 species